GAGAGGGAGAGAGAGAGAGAGACGAAGCUGGUUCUGGAAGUUGGGGGACCUCCUUCUUCUCUCCCUUUGGAAUCUGGAAUCUCACAAAAGCCUGUUUGGGGGAAGGUCAUUGGUAUCUAACAUAUUGCUCAGGGAAACCAUGAGGUUCUAUAGCCUUAACACACGGAGGAAGAACCCAGUCUGAUGUUUUAGGGCUCCCCGCGCCGGGUGAAUUUCUCCAUAGCGGCACCAGAGGGCGCCCGAACUGAGGGAAAGGCCUCGGGACGCCAAGAGGACCCAAGCAGGUGCUACCACGCCGGCGACCCAGACCUCCCUGGCUCUGAACCUUGAAGGAAAAACAGAACUGCGUUCCUCAGCUCUAUCCUUUCUGCUCAUUUCCUGUCACCCAAGAUGUGAUUUUUCAGUGGUGGUCUCCAUUUUUAUUCACAUAUGGCUGCUAGAUCAAGGGACUGACAUUAUCUAGAAAUCUGUGAAGUAAAAAACAUCCAGGACCCAUUCCCUGGGGGCAGAAAAAAGAGAGUAGAA